GAAUAAUAAAGUGCUGCUAAAAAGAUAACGUUCCUCAAAGAAUGCAUUUAAAGAAAAAGAAAGGUUCAACAAGUGAUACAGCAGUCAUAGACAGCGGCUUAAACAGCGAGGCGAAGUGGAGCCAGACUACUGCAUACAAGAGAGAGAGAGAGAGAGAGAGAGCGAAAGAGAGAGAGAGAGAUAUCUUACAAUACUGCAGAAUUCAGUGCACUCACAACAGUACGUGUCCACCGCCUAUGACACAUAAUGCUUUAUGGAGCGCAAGGAACACUGGGAGUUUGACCCAAGAAGGGUGACAAGCACUUUGAGGAUAACAAAAAGCUUCCGUAAGGCCAACAUUCAUUUUGGUCCCCUUUUUUUUUUGCUUUUUCUGAAGAUGCUUAGUAGUUGUCACGGAGGAACAGCAUGCAGCACUGCAGCUCCCGUUUGAGUGAAAAGAUCCAGACAACUCUCAAGUCAAUUUACCAGACUUUGGAAGCUCUACAGGUAAUCUCAACUCUCAACUCUCAACAGAAGCUUUCAGUCUGGAUCAGGCCGACCUGACCUGAAACUGUUUCGAAGCGAUGAGGGCUGAGGGCAGAGGAGGCUCGAUUGUAUUAGACGGACACUUAAUGACACGUUCUGGUUUGGUGAGACACAUACUUAUUGUCACUGUAAAAUGGAUGGAUGAUUUAUUUAUUGUACUUUUGCUGGCGAGUUCAGUGCUCUGCUAAUGAUCUGUGCAGAAGCUGUUCCUAUUGCACUGAGCCAUCCAUAACGCUUUUUAAACAAAAAGGCAAUUUUCACCAAGAAAAGUUUUUUGUCUACCAAGAGAAAAAAAGGAUAAAAAGAGUCAAAUAUUUCCCAGCAGGAGUAAGUAACAGCAUUACCAUUAUAGUCUAAUAAAUUUCAUUAAGAAUAUCUAAAUCUUUACAGCAAUACACCAACAUAUCACUAUUUGUGUAGUCAGUAGCCUAAAAAAAAGGUACAAAUAACUUAUUCUUCAUCGGUGGAGCACCUUUUUUAAAGGCAUUGCCCCAUCUGCUGGGGAGAGACAGAGUCGAGCUGUGCAGCAUCUACAGUGCUUGAGUCUACAGUGAUACAGCUUUACAG